rnacentral:rRNA from 1 species
UGUUGGAGGUAUGGCUNCCANGNCGACGACGGGUAGCUCGGCCUGANAGGGCGACCGGCCACACUGGGACUGAGAUACGGCCCAGACUCCUACGGGAGGCAGCAGUGGGGAAUAUUGCACAAUGGGCGAAAGCCUGAUGCAGCGACGCCGCGUGAGGGAUGACGGCCUUCGGGUUGUAAACCUCUUUCAGCAGGGAAGAAGCGAAAGUGACGGUACCUGCAGAAGAAGCGCCGGCUAACUACGUGCCAGCAGCCGCGGUAAUACGUAGGGCGCAAGCGUUGUCCGGAAUUAUUGGGCGUAAAGAGCUCAUAGGCGGCUUGUCACGUCGGGUGUGAAAGCCCGGGGCUUAACCCCGGGUCUGCAUUCGAUACGGGCUAGCUAGAGUGUGGUAGGGGAGAUCGGAAUUCCUGGUGUAGCGGUGAAAUGCGCAGAUAUCAGGAGGAACACCGGUGGCGAAGGCGGAUCUCUGGGCCAUUACUGACGCUGAGGAGCGAAAGCGUGGGGAGCGAACAGGAUUANAUACCCUGNUANUCCACGCCGUANACGGU